UACGUAGGGGGCAAGCGUUGUCCGGAUUUAUUGGGCGUAAAGGGCGCGCAGGCGGCCUUUUAAGUCAGUUGUGAAAGGUCUCGGCUCAACCGAGGAGUUGCAGCUGAAACUGGAAGGCUUGAGUGCAGGAGAGGAGAGCGGAAUUCUCGGUGUAGCGGUGGAAUGCGUAGAGAUCGGGAGGAACACCAGUGGCGAAGGCGGCUCUCUGGCCUGUAACUGACGCUGAGGCGCGAAAGCGUGGGGAGCAAACAGG
rnacentral:rRNA from 1 species